AUUGAACGCUGGCGGCAUGCUUUACACAUGCAAGUCGAACGGCAGCGCGGGCUUCGGCCUGGCGGCGAGUGGCGAACGGGUGAGUAAUACAUCGGAACGUGCCCAGUAGUGGGGGAUAGCUCGGCGAAAGCCGGAUUAAUACCGCAUACGACCUGAGGGUGAAAGCGGGGGAUCUUCGGACCUCGCGCUAUUGGAGCGGCCGAUGGCAGAUUAGCUAGUUGGUGGGGUAAAGGCCUACCAAGGCGACGAUCUGUAGCUGGUCUGAGAGGACGACCAGCCACACUGGGACUGAGACACGGCCCAGACUCCUACGGGAGGCAGCAGUGGGGAAUUUUGGACAAUGGGCGAAAGCCUGAUCCAGCAAUGCCGCGUGUGUGAUGAAGGCCUUCGGGUUGUAAAGCACUUUUGGCGGGAAAGAAAAGGACUGUGCCAAUACCACGGUUCGAUGACGGUACCCGAAGAAUAAGCACCGGCUAACUACGUG
rnacentral:rRNA from 1 species